GGGAUGUGGGUGAUAGGAGGCUGGUGAAAACGUAGGGGGCAAACGGGGUUCCGAAUUAUUGGGCGUAAAGCGGACGUGGGCUGGUUAGAAAGGCCCAUGUGAAAUCCCACGUCUUAACCGUGGAAGGGCAUGGGAAACUGUUGAGCUGGAGUAGUGAAGAGGAUCGCGGAAGUCCCGGUGGAGAGGUGAAAUUCGUAGAUAUCGGGAGGAACACCAGUGGCGAAGGCGGCGAUCUGGGAAGAUACUGACGCUGAGGUGCGAAAGCGUGGGGAGCAAACAGGAUUAGAUACCCGUGUAGUC
rnacentral:rRNA from 1 species